rnacentral:pre_miRNA from 1 species
UGAUGAUGAUGAUGAUAAUGAUGAUGAUGAUAAUGAUGAUAAAAAUAAUAAUUUUAUCAUCAUCAUCAUCAUCAUCAUUAUUAUUAUUA